GGCUCAGCUCAGUUUUUCUCUUGUGUUUUCCUCUAGGACCCCUCUGCUGUAGAAGCCCAUGUCCAGUACUUGAGCUCUGGGCCUUCCCUGGCUUUGUGCCUGCAGAGGGAGAAUGCUGUGAAGAGGCUACUGGACGUGCUGGGACCUGAGGACCUGCCCAGGCCCGCGCUCAGGACCAAUUCCUCUGGAGGGCCUGUUACAGCUCAGACCAUCUACACAGCGGCAUCUAUGGAUUGAGGAGCUAUCAGAGAGCUGUUCAGGAUAUGAAGAGGCUGUUCCCUCAGGGCCUAUGCUGCACAGAGACCAACACCAUGAGACAGGAGCAGAUACCCAGUGUACACUCAGACUUGAGACAUUUGGCUUGUCUGGCCAAAUGGUCAGACAAGCCAUCUUUAUCACACCUUAUGGCUUCUGGACUAAAUGGAGCAGGGCCCUCGAUCCGCAGUGCUCUCUGCCAAACCACCUGCCUGCUGCUGCCCUCCAGUGUACUGGGCCCAGCCCCCAUCCACCUGGACCUGCUUGAGCAGCUGCUGAGGACAGGCUGCACCUGGUGGCCGGGAGGAUGAGAGCCCUGGACGAGAACCAGAGAUGUCACAUAGCUGAGACACUGAUGCUACCCUCUGAGGGAUGGGAAGGGCCCUUGUCUUAUCGUUGUUCUACAGAAAGAUAACACUGACCUGCUUUGACUCCAUGCUUGAAAAGCAUUGCAGCUGCUGUGCUAUCUAUUUGAUGUUCUGUCUCCUGAUAGUCAUCAUGCCAUUGUACCACAGUAAUCUGAGUGAACCUUAAUUCUAUAGUGCAUUACCAAGAGGGCCAACCUAUUUUCUGGAAUUCUGUGCCAAUCUUUGAUUAUAAUCCAUUUGAUACAUUCCAAUACUGUAUAAAUAAAAUAUUUAUUUAAUUGGUUGUAGUAAUAAACCUUAUGUAACCCCCCAAAAGAAAAAGCUAUUUUCAUGUGAAGAAAAUAAAUGCUGGUUCAUGUUUCAGUUAUUGCAAGA